CCUACGGGUGGCUGCAGUGGGGAAUAUUGGACAAUGGGCGAAAGCCUGAUCCAGCCAUGCCGCGUGUGUGAAGAAGGCCUUCGGGUUGUAAAGCACUUUCAGUGGGGAAGAAAGCCUUGGGGCUAAUACCCUCGAGGAAGGACAUCACCCACAGAAGAAGCACCGGCUAACUCCGUGCCAGCAGCCGCGGUAAUACGGAGGGUGCGAGCGUUAAUCGGCAUUACUGGGCGUAAAGCGCGCGUAGGCGGUCUGAUAAGCCGGUUGUGAAAGCCCCGGGCUCAACCUGGGAACGGCAUCCGGAACUGUCAGGCUAGAGUGCAGGAGAGGAAGGUAGAAUUCCCGGUGUAGCGGUGAAAUGCGUAGAGAUCGGGAGGAAUACCAGUGGCGAAGGCGGCCUUCUGGACUGACACUGACGCUGAGGUGCGAAAGCGUGGGUAGCAAACAGGAUUAGAUACCCCGGUAGUC
rnacentral:rRNA from 1 species